AAAACUUCGUUCGUGAAUUGUUCGUGUUAAAAGUAUGAGAGCUCCAAAACCUGGAGAGAGUGAUACCCAUGACUGGAUCACCGCUGACCAAUGAUGUUGCGCCCUCGGACAACAAUGCUCCGAAGGGCAUCAUACUAUUAACAGCUGGUAAGUUUACAGAUGAUGAUUGUUUUCAACGAGAAUUUGAGAUGUGUUCCAU